GAGAUUUCAUUCGCACUAGUGAUAGCUAGUUUCCCUGGAAAGAUAUAAAAGUGUCCGGAAAAAUAUAAUUUAUAAUAUAAACUAUUAUAUAUGUAUGUAUUUUACUAAUUUUCUUGAGGAUAAGCUCAAGAAAAAGUUAAGGAUUUUUUAGUUAAAUUUGCUGUAUAGGCUUAAGAUUGGCCAUUACAAGAGUUUUUUAUAAAAUAGCAAUUUUAAUUUUAUAGAUAAAUAUAAUUAUAAACUAACUUCUUACGGGGAUAAGAACUUUAACUUAAAUAAGUUUUAUGCCUAUGCUAGAAUGAGUAUUAAAACUCAACUAUAAAAGAUCUAUCUAUAUUGUAUCUUCUCUCAAAAAAAUAAAAAAAAUAAAUUAAUUAGAAGGAACUCGGCAAAUUCAGUUGUUCCGCCUGUUUAUCAAAAACAUGGCAUCUUUGAUCAUACAAAUAUAGAGAGUCGAGCCUGCCC
rnacentral:rRNA from 1 species